GUCAACUGACUAUGCUGUGCUUUGUUCUGCCUUCUGCCUGAAGUCUGUAUAUUAGCAGGUUCUGACAGAAACUCAUGGCUGUUCAGUGUGCCGAGAGGCACCAACCGACAGUCCUCCCAACUCUGUCUGGUUGUCUUUGUGUUGUUUGUCUUAACCCCCUUGUUUCAGGUAACCCAGCUGACUGUGGAGGCAGGCUCCCACAAGUGGCGCCUCGCCUCGUUGUGAGAGCUGACUACAGGGGAUUCUGUGAGAGUGCUCAGAAAAAGUGGGAGUGUGGAAGAAAAUGAAGCUGAUGGCUGCCUAAACAUCUGGUGUGGUGUGUGGAGCAGAGGAGUGCCAGCCCUGGUGGUACUGUGGCUGCUGGUGCCACCCCACAAGUGUAGGGGUGAGAAUUAUUGGACCUACGUUCCUGAUCCUCAGAUACUACAACCUUCGGUCUGGGAAGGAAAGGAAUUAUAGUGACGUUCAUCACGGUGGGGAAGCCAAGGUAGCAGGAGUUUGCCGCAGCUUGGUCAUGAUUCAUCUGCAGUUGGAAAGCGGGAGGAGAUGAAUGCUGAUCCUCAGCUCAGGUUUAUUCAGUCCGAG
rnacentral:lncRNA from 1 species